rnacentral:misc_RNA from 1 species
UUUUAGAGAAAAAAAAUAUAUUAAUAGAAAUUCAAUCGCAUGAACAGGAGGGCAACUUUCAGUUGUUUUACCAUGCCAGUAAACAAGCUUUUAUGAAAAGCACGAAGCGGUCUACAAAACUAAAUUCCAGUUUAUGCAAUAUACCCCCUUCAAAGAAUAAAACCCACUGUCAGAUCUGCAUGCAGAUAAAAAGACAAUAGCUCGACAAGACAAGGAAUAUGAGGACAAAAUAUUGAUAAAGAUCAUACAAAAUAUAAAAUUGAAAAAGCUAGUGAAAACAAGGUAAUGCCAUUGCAAGCAAUUAGGCAGUUGGUUUUGAUUCGGCUUCCGAGGCAUGCUGGUCACCAGUUGGAGAAACCACUUCUUUGGGAGGGUGCGAUGAACCAUUUGAAGUGGCAUCUUUAGGAGAUGCAACAGGCUCCUUCACAUCAGAACCUGUUGCAUUUGAUGCUGCAUCUUUUCCAGAUUUGGCGUCCUUUCCAUCCUUUCCAUCUUUGGCGUCCUUUUUGGGUGCAGGUGGAGGUGGUAUCAUGUGAGGUGGGGGUGUGUGUUUCAGCUUCACGAGUAUCUGGCGCAUCCUUGAAAGAUCAGUGGGUUUUCCUGGCUUUGGCCCCUGGAUUACAGUAAUUGACGGUUUCUUUUCUUGAUCCUUCUUGCCUCUCUUCUUCUCAAUAUUGGGAACCUCGUAAGGGAUAAGCUCUGCUAUUGCUUUCCAGUACUGUUUGUCAGCCUCUUUAUGGAAUUUCUCUUGGUUGGCCAAGUAUAACUGCUCCACACACAACCAAACAAUCCUGAUUCGAUGGCUAGAAAAAAGACUUAAAAUCUAGCAAAAUGAAUCUCUGUUGGAAACUUUACCUUCUCCCUUUCCCUGUUAUUAGUUUUGUUGGUCUCAAUGUUAAGCUUCCUUUUCUCAUAAAAAGCAAGUAUAUACUCUUCCGCUUCUUCAAUAAUCUGCUUCCUCAUUUCCUUCUCCCUCUUUUCCUUCUCCUCAAGAUGAAUGGCAUUUUGACGCCGCCACUCGCGAAGGGCGUAUCCUUCCUCGGGCUCCAUCUCAGAAGGUGGAGGAAGCACAGGCCCAUCCGAAGUAAAAACGCCAUCUCCAGCUACAUUAUAACCGUUGCCGUUGCCGUUUUCAACGUGGAUCGUGCUGAACGGACUCUGCGAAUAGCUAGCGUUCGGAUCCACAUCGACUGAAGAAGAUCCGAAUCCAAAGACAUCAGGAGAAGAGGCAGCGACAUGAUCUACGGGGACAUCUCCGCUGGGGAACUCGCCAGUGCCGCCGGUGGUGAAGUUGGAGUAGGAACCGAAGUUGGAGUAGCUAUCGUCUUCUUCUUCUUCAAAGGAUCUGUGAUUGGACGUGUGAAUCUCCUCGCCGUCGAUGCCGAAGGUAUCGAAAGAAGCCAUGAGACGCUUUGUCUCUAAGAGAUUAAAAGCUCUGUAGAAAUGAGAUUUUUCUUUCACUGGGAAUACAGUGGAGGAAGAUUCAAACUUAG